UGCAGCAGAGUGGAAAAGGAAUUUCCCUUCCCUCUGUGCUCGGUUGGAUACAAAUCUGGCCAGAUCACGAUGUAUGUGAUGCAGAAGAGGAACUGCUUGCAUGGCAGUGGCCAAUUUUGCUCCAACACACAGCAGGCUUCCUUCAACCUAGGCAGGUGCCGUGCAUUAUUCAGUAUGGCUACGUCUGCACACUCGAUCAGCGCAGGGACAGAGACAACUGCAGCUGCCCGGCCUCCUCUGAGAUCCUUUGGGAGAUGGCUGAAGACCUUCUCAAGCCUUCUCAAGAUUUCAGGCUAUUCAACUUCAGAAAGCCCAGGGACUACAAAGCAAGACCCC